GGCAUGACUGCGACCUUGACCGCCUGCAAUCAUAGCAACAAAUCCUUAACAUCAUCAAUAAUGAGAAAAAUAUUAACACCACCACCCAACAAACAAUAUAUGAUAUGAGAAUUGAAGUUACACACGAAGGCCAGAUAAUCUUGAUUGAUAAUACUCCGCCUCUAGAAAGCCAUAAAACAAUGUAUUCCAUCUUAUCAUAAGGGAAUAUGAGCAAGCCAGAGACAUGAGACUUCAAAAAGAAAAGUUGCAGAGAUGGAUGCAGAUGAUAAACAGUGAAGGUGCAAUCAUUUUUGUUCCUUGAAUACAAAAGUGAAGUCCAUCUUAAAUGAAUUAGUUAAUGAAUCAGGGAUUUCUGUUGCUGUAGUCAACUGAACUAUAAACUACUCAGCUACACAUCAAAUCUACAUUACCAUAAACUUUCUAUACAUGAUUUAAGACACAUUUGAAAACUACACAAGCAACUAGAGCAAGGACAGGCUGCCACUUCCAAGGAUCUUUUAGAGCUCUUAUUCAAAUAAUGAUCUGCCAAAUAACCUACCCAACAGCCAAGCUUGGAAGAGUCAUCCACUGAUCAUGACCUCAAAUAUACCUAUGACAGGUACAUCAUGAUUAUCAGAAUGGGUUAAAUUCAUGUGUCCCUCAGCAAAAGUGACAUAAAACAAAAUAUAUCUCUCUUCCAUUUUUUCCCCAACAUCCCCAGCACACACACGCACACGAGCAUGGAGGAAGAAGGCACACAACAAAACAACUCUAAAACAUAAAAAUAAACAAGAAGCUUAGCUGCAUACAGCAAUCUACAGCCUACAGGAUGAGAUGACAAAGCAAACUUCUGAAACACACUCAUGCAAAUUCCUAAAAUGUGGGACCACAACAUGCAGAGAAAUCUGUUCAAUACCUCCAUUGUAGAAAUUACAGUCAAUGUCUAGAGAUGUAAAACAAGUCACAUAUCAAGUAUGGAGUAGCCAACUGUAUGGGCAACAAAAAGAUUAGAAUGGAUUAAAAAAGAUUAGCAGCCAAUCAGAAUGCAAAGAAUGAGUACUCCAGAACCAGUACGACUCCAAACUGAACAAACAAAGGUCUAGUCACCAUUUUGCAGAAUAACAUGUUUGAAAAAUAAGCAAAAUUUAUACAGCUAAUAUCAUGUUCCACAACAGAAAUGUUUAAAAAAGUAGCCAUAACUGUAUGAUAAAUUUGGAACGUCUAUCAAAACAAUGCAUAUCAAGUUAACAUUAUUAACGCAAUCCCUCGUCUCCUUCUAUUGAGUCAAGCCUAACUCAAUCACCAGCGUACACUCAUCAUACAUGUCCACUGUUCCACACCAAUAAGAAAUUCAUUAAAGGGUAAGUUCAAUCCAAGAUCAACAAAUUCAAGUAAAUGUAUACACAUUUUACUAUUUUCAUAUGCACUCCUACAAGUUAACAAUAAUUGCAUUGCUCACAAGGUCCUGGUGAAUAAUCCUCAAGGUGUGUUUGAGCAAUCAAUGGAAAUUCAAUGGCUUUACUUGAAGAUCUACCACUCAAUUUUGGUGAUCAACAAUGUAAUGACCCAGCAGUAGUAGCUGAAGAAAAAAACUUCAUUGCCAUAUAAUUUCCCCUACUACAAUUUGCAAAGACACGUUUUUCCAAUUGGUGAUGUAUUCAACAAGGCAUAGAUACAUCAGAAUGAAACAAAUCCGGCAUUCAUGAGCCAGUCAAUGUUCAUUUAAUUUAUGUGUACAGCUAGAAAAAUUCAUACCGUAAUUACAUUUAAAAAAUAUUUUUUAAUAAAAAAAAUGGGAACAGAAAGAAAGAAGUCUAAUAGAAUCAUUCACUGUUCUUGACAUAUGGUAACUGGUGGCAAAAAUAAAAAAAAGAAGAAGAAGAAAAUGAAGAACAAGGAGGAGGAGGAGGAGAAGGCUUCUCUAC
rnacentral:misc_RNA from 1 species